UCCCGCCCCCACCUGCAGGCUCCGCCCCCGGCCCAGCCCCGGACCGGCGUCCGGGAGCGGACCCGGAAGGGGGGGGCGGACCCAGAGUCAGGUACUUGGGGGCAGGGUCCCCUGCUGGGUAACAGACAGACGUACGAGGAUCCAGGGUGUGGCGGCUGCUUUCUGUCGUGGAGCUGGCCGUCCCGCAGAUGUGCUGCCCUACUGACCACAGGGUCUGGACCAGGCUCCUCUGGGUUCAUAUGGGCAUGCUGGGCUGUUACUGAUGGCCAGUGGGGCCUCAGCUCAGGCAGAGUCCCCGAGGGGCAUGUAGGGGCCCUGGGUCCCUCCCAGCACCAAGAAGGAACCAAAGACUGCCCCUCACGCGCCAGUUCAGCCUGGUAGCGGCAGACUGCAGAAUGUAAUCGGCACCCAUCACUCCUCAGGAUCCCACAUUCUUUGUAAAUCCUGGAGAUUAUGAAACUGUAUUUCUGUAAUUGGUGUCACCUUUGAUCUGUUAAGCUCUACCCUGCAAGACCUCAGUCCUCUGAAGGCCCUGACCUCAGGGGCCAGCUCCCGCCCUUCUGAGGACAGACUGAAGACAGCUAAGCUGCAUGGCGACAUCCACACUUCCUGUCGGCUGAAACCCAAGCUCCAGGAUGAGGCGAGUGCCUGAAGGUCACUCG